CUUUCUCUCUCCUCCCGCCGCCCAAGAUGGUGAGUGAGCUGUAGUUCCGUGGCCCUAUAGCCAGGUUCCGGCUGUAUCCGCUGCCAUCCUCCUCCAGGCGCGGCCUCGGAGGGCCUCCUGCUCCUCCUGGCGCUAGGAGAGCCCCACUCGGUGUGGCACGGAGACACUGAGGUGGAUUAGAGCCCCUCUUGGUGUGGCACGGAGACAUUGAGAUGGACUAGAGCCCCGGGCGGCCGAGAGCGGAAUGCGUUGUUCCCGGUGUCGCAGGGCUGGGUGUCGCAGGCCUGGAGCGCCGCAGUGCGGGGCUCGGAGCCCUAGCGUCUCUCGGGCUUGCUGGGGGCCGCUCCAGAGGCCUUCCGAAAGGAAAGAAGGCCAAGGGAAAGAAGGUGGCUCCGGCCCCAGCUGUCGUGAAGAAGCAGGAGGCUAAGAAAGUGGUGAAUCCCCUGUUUGAGAAAAGGCCUAAGAAUUUUGGCAUUGGACAGGACAUCCAGCCCAAAAGAGACCUCACCCGCUUUGUGAAAUGGCCCCGCUAUAUCAGGUUGCAGCGGCAGAGAGCCAUCCUCUAUAAGCGGCUGAAAGUGCCUCCUGCGAUUAACCAGUUCACCCAGGCCCUGGACCGCCAAACAGCUACUCAGCUGCUUAAGCUGGCCCACAAGUACAGACCAGAGACAAAGCAAGAGAAGAAGCAGAGACUGUUGGCCCGGGCCGAGAAGAAAGCUGCUGGCAAAGGGGACGUCCCGACGAAGAGACCACCUGUCCUUCGAGCAGGAGUUAACACCGUCACCACCUUGGUGGAGAACAAGAAAGCUCAGCUGGUGGUGAUUGCACACGACGUGGAUCCCAUCGAGCUGGUUGUCUUCUUGCCUGCCCUGUGUCGUAAAAUGGGGGUCCCUUACUGCAUUAUCAAGGGGAAGGCAAGACUGGGACGUCUAGUCCACAGGAAGACC
rnacentral:sRNA from 1 species